rnacentral:rRNA from 1 species
GGAAUAUUGGACAAUGGGCGAAAGCCUGAUCCAGCAAUGCCGCGUGAGUGAUGAAGGCCUUAGGGUCGUAAAGCUCUUUUACCAGGGAUGAUAAUGACAGUACCUGGAGAAUAAGCUCAGGCUAACUCCGUGCCAGCAGCCGCGGUAAUACGGAGGGAGCUAGCGUGUUUCGGAAUUACUGGGCGUAAAGCGCGCGUAUGCGGCUUAUCAAGUCAGAGGUGAAAUCCCGGGGCUCAACCCCGGAACUGCCUUUGAAACUAGUAGGCUAGAAUCUUGGAGAGGCGUGUGGAAUUCCGAGUGUAGAGGUGAAAUUCGUAGAUAUUCGGAAGAACACCAGUGGCGAAGGCGACUCGCUGGACAAGUAUUGACGCUGAGGUGCGAAAGCGUGGGGAGCAAAC